GAAAGGGACUCUGCAAAGCCUCUAUUGUGAGGACCUUUAUCUCCCGAGUUCAGCGAUGCUUUGCUUUGUCUGUUUGCAUUUAUUGAACGAUCAUUUCCCUGAGCAGCCAGGAAUUCGCCCUCAUCUACAGGCAGCCGCGACGGUCUGAGUGCUCGUGUUCUCCUGCCCACCCAAGCAAUAACCGCAAACCGCACUCAUUCCUUUCGCCUUUCUGCUCUCCGCAGCCUUUUAAACAAAGCUACGUUGCCACACGAGGAGGGGGCAAGAUGCCCCCGUGCCCGCUGCCCCCAACUAAGUGCCCGGACCCGCGGGGCGGCUGCUCAGCUGAGGGGCGUGGAGCGGUCUCCAGUGGUGUACGAGAGAAGAUGGAAGCAAAUCCCUAAUGUACAUGUAAGGAAGAUGGGCCUUUCUGCCACCAUCUUACAACACAUCUGUGAGUACCUGCAGGGGAGAAGGAAGAAUAUAGGCAUGCCCAUUCAAUCGAGGGAAAGGUGUAGCUGUAAAUGCAAG
ensembl:lncRNA